CUCAGUUGUAGAACAAGUAGUAGAAAGAGUCAAAGGGACGUUCUUUGGCUUCAGCAGUCUUUCUGCAUAUAAUCAGUUACAAGAUUGGAGGCUUAAUUAAAUGACAGACGUAAAAGUUCUCUCGGAAGUAAGCUGAAGAGAUUAGAAAAUACAUGCAUAUAUGCUGGGAUGAGCUCUGUUUGUCACUUUUGUCUUCACUGUAUAACCAGAGUUUCAAAAAAGCUAUUCAGUUUUGUGGGAUGGGAUGCUUGUUCUGUCUCUGAAACAGCUCAUUUUAACCUGGGAAGACAGAAUGAUUUUUAUGAACUCCCUAAAAACUGUCAUAUUAAACUCCCCAGAAUUCGAUACCUCGUACCUUGGUAUCUUGUUGACUACAGUGAAUCUUACUGGCUAACAGACUGGCUUCCUACCAAGAACAAGCUAUAUCUUACUACAGUUCAUUGAAAUGUCUGACUGCUUUGGAAGAGAGGAAACGUCUCUUGACAGAUGUCCUGACAAAGCAAUAACGAAAAGGUCAUACUCCAUUUUAUGCAGUAUUUGUCUUGUUUUUGUAGUGGCUGUCUACCAAAAGCUAGAUCCAAUUACAUCUGAUCAGAAACACCAAGUUCUGAAAUACAAGUUAAGAAGCUAUUAAACACUUGGAUCAAAAUUACAUUUCAAAAUUCUAAAACUGUUAAAUGGCAUCUCAUCAACAUUACAAUUCAGAUCCAAUCUUAAAACUUUUUACCUUCUCUAAAGAUCAAGGUCACAGAGCUCAGCAGUUCUUGUUUUAUGGGGCCUUGGGGCCAAUUCGAACUAUUAUUACUUCAAGAACUGUUGAUUAUGAUUGAAUACUGGAACAAAAGCAUUUAAUAGUUAUUCUCAGCAAGUCUUCGCUGACAAAAUUAUCAGCAUAUGGAAUAAAAAAAAUACUCAAAAUUCA
rnacentral:lncRNA from 1 species